rnacentral:tRNA from 1 species
AUUUAUAUAGCUUAUAUUUAAGAGUAUAACAUUGAAGCUGUUAGGGAAAUUAUUAUUUAUAAAUA